rnacentral:rRNA from 1 species
CGCUCUUUGAUUUAAUUUAUAUUAUAAAGAGUCGAGCCUGCCCAGUGAAAUUUUAACGGCCGCGGUACUCUGACCGUGCAAAGGUAGCAUAAUCAUUUGCCUUAUAAUUGAAGGCUAGUAUGAAUGGUUUGACGAAAGCAGAUCUGUCUCCUUUUUAUUCUAUAGAAUUUGACCUCCAGGUGAAGAGGCCUGAAUAAUAUUGAAGGACAAGAAGACCCUGUCGAGCUUAAAAGAAUUUACAGAAGUUAAUAUAACUCUAAAUAAAUAAUCUGUUAAGCUUUUUAGUUGGGGCGACUAAGGAACAACGAAAGCUUCUUAAAAAUUAUAAACUAACAAGUUUAGAUCCAGCAAUGGUCUGAUUAAAGAAAUUAGUUACCGCAGGGAUAACAGCAUAAUCUCUCUUGAGAGACCUAAUCGAAAGAGGGGGUUGUGACCUCGAUGUUGGACUAGAAUAUCCUAAAGAUGCAGAAGUCUUUGAGGGUUGGUCUGUUCGACCAUUAAAAUUCU